GUCAGUUCAUCAGUUAAGGCAGGAACUAGCUGUUUCUUCUUCUUUAGUGGUUCUCCUAGUGCUCCAGGCUUUGUGACUCCAGGAGGCCUGUACGUGUGGGUCACAGGGGUCAUAAUGGCUUGACCAUGGUGCAGCCCAUUCAGAGGACCUUACAGGAAGCAGGCACACAGUAAGGAGACGUGCAGAGCCCUCCCCAGGAUUCUCUCCGCUGCCUAAGUCCAGAGAUCUGCUGGGGGAUGGUGUGAGCCCAAAGAAGCCGAUUUCCUUCUUGAAGGGGGUGAGAAGAAGGGAGACUGUGACUUGACCAAGCCAAUCGGCAAACUACCUUCCCUCCCAACAGAAGUUGAUUUGUUCAGGAGGAGGCAUGUGACAAAAGCUGGGCCACUCAGAGCCCAUCUAAGGACUUCACUGAAAUGCUGACAUAAAGCAGCCACUUGUGCCACAGGGGGAAAGCCAGCCUCAAGUGAAACUGUCUCGCAAAGAAAUAGAGAUGAAUGACUUGUAGAGAACUGGAAACAAACAAAAUGAAACUUGCAGAGAAAAUAUUGCAAGUAAAUGUUGAACCUCUGGAUCGAACCAUGGCUGAGUCCCUCCUGGCUCUGACUUUUCAGUUAGAUCUCCAAGAGGACCCUCCUGCCUCUGCUUCUCUUCCUCCCCUGAAGUCAAUUUUGCAGUGUGCUGGUCAGCCUCAUCCAGCCCCUCUUUUCUGGGAACUGCUCUAACUCUAUGGCUGGAUUGACUGGCCAAGAGACAGACACCAGGGUGAGCUGGAUCAUCAGACAGUCUCUCCUAGGAAUGUGAAAUACGAAUUCAGAGAGGCUGGCAGCCCAUUGUUCAUGGGAAUGCAGAAGCUAUGGGGCUGAGAAACCCCUUUCCAUCCAGACGGAAAGAAGGGUCCAGUUUCCUCUGAAGUUUGCAAGGACACAUGGAAGGUCAGCAGAAACUUGGCCAUCUCAGUGUCCUGGUGGGUGAUUUUUACGAGGAUUUCUCAUCACAGAGGAUGGGAACCCAAAGGAGAAUGGCCGCCAUUGGAGCCUUUCCUGUCCCUCCACUGCUCAAAACAACUGAACUCUGUGUCAGUUGGGCUGCAAGUAAAGAAAACUCAACUAAUGGAGGCCUCAUUGAACAGGAGUUCAUUUUACUCACGUAACAAACCUAUGUGGUCCCAGGAUUGUCUCACGGCCCAGUAAAGGCAAAGCAUGGCGUUAGCAAGUCUGAGAUGUUCUUGAAUUUCCCCCCAUUGCUGCAAGAUGGCCCCUACAGCUCCAAACAUCACAUCCUCAAUGGUGAAUAAAGCUGAUCUCCAACUGGGAAGAACCUCUGUCUCCUGGUGUGGUGAAGGCUGUUGGAGCAUCUGCAGGAGCAUCCAAACCCUGUGCUAUUGGGGUAGUCCAUGCCCUUCAAGCCAGUCAUGGCUUUCCUGUUUCCUCUGUCAAAUACUGGCUAAGGAUAGGUCUGUGAUGCAAUUCUGGCCAGUGAGACAUGAUGGAAGAGCUGCUGGGUGAAAUUCUGGGAAAAGUUCCCUUACUCUUUAGAAGAUGGAUCCAGGAGAAGAGAGUCUCUUUUGCUGAGUGUUGUCAUAUCUGGAGGUGAUGCCUGGAACUGUGGCAGCUGACUUGUGAUUAUGAGGGAAGCUGGCCUGAAAACAGACUGGCCCACUGAAGAGGAGGGCAGCAUGGAAUGUGGAAUAAACCUGGGUCCCUGUUGGCUUCCUGCGGCCCUGAUCUAACCAGCCCUGAGCUGUCCUACCUCUGCACUGCUUGGCACAGGAGACACAUCUUGAUUGUUUAAGCCCCUUUGAGUUGGGUUUUCUGUUCCUUGCAGCUGACAGCACUCUAACCAAUCCACACAUUUCCCUCUGCUCGAUUUCCUGCUCCAGAGAGACAGGCACAGACCAGUACCGGGCAGCCCCACUCUGGGGAAAAACAACAGUGCUUAUUGUUUGCCGGCACAGUGGGAGCUCUGCCUCCUGGCACAGUGGGAGCUCUGCCUCCUGUGGCAGGCUGGCCAUUCCAAAACCACACUGCCUGCCACUGCCAUAAAGAGGCCAGGACUGUGUUCAAAACCCCAGGCAGCAGGAGGAGUGGUUUGUGGGAGGUGUUGUGGUAGUGCAUAAAGGAAGGUCAUUUCCUGACCCUCAGAACCCACACUGCCCUCAGCCCCACACAGCCCUACCCAGCCCAGCAUCGCCCCCAGUGCCCCUGGAGACAAUAAUGGCAGCCACCCACUGGCUGCUCCUGUGCGGGCAGGGCAGGAAAGCUGGUGGUUAAGUGCUGGAGAACCCCCAGGCCCUGGGCUUGGCCGGAAAGGAUUUCUGUAGAGACAGCGUGGACAUUCUGUCCUCUGCAGGCCGCCUGGUACAGGAUGAAAACAGGCCGGCUCAGUACUUUUUUGGCAACCGAUUAUAUAGAUUUGCAUCCACAUGAGCUCCCUCUUGCAAUGAACCAGGCCCCCACAAGGGCUCUCCCCACAGUCAUUUGUGUUGAGAACGCUCUGAGCCCUUGAGCCUCCUUCCUCUCUGGGAAAGGGACUUGUUGGCAGUGAGAAGAACCUAGAGGGAGGCACUUCUGGAGGCAUUUCCUUUCUGGGAGGAAAUGCUCCAGGGCUCUCCUCCAUCCACCAACAGCCUCCAAGUUGAGUAAGUGGCAGCGAAGGUCACGCCUGAGCUGGCAGCCAUGGAACCUCACCUCCUGCUUUUCCAGCUUCGUUCCCAAAGACGUCCCUCCACGAGCUUGUGCUCAUGCCAUGCCUAUGCUGGAAGCCCUUGCUGUCUGCAGGUGGCGAUGUGACCCGGGCCUGGCCCUGGGGAUUUGUUCAGGCGUGUCACUCUUUCUGACCAAAGGGGACCAGCCUUGGGGCUUUUGUGGAAACCUCUGAGAAAGGGAGGUCCACAAUUCUGGUUUCCUAGCUGGAGAGAAUACGCCUGGCCCUGCUGGCAACCAUCUUUCCCACCCAAGGGAGUCAGCCUGGACAUUUUAGUCACUUGAGUCAAUAAAUUCUGUUUGCAAAGAAAAAAAAAAAUCGCUUUGAGCCGGGCUUUCUGUGGCUUACAGUGGAAACUCAUUAGUAAUAUAAAUGCAGAUAUCCCUCUUAGGCCAAAGUAAUCUCUCCUUUCUUGCUUGCUCUAUACCACACACACCUGCUUCAUUGGCAUUUACUGUUUCCCCACCUGCACGGGUGACCUUAGCCCCCCUGCACAAAGGCCUGGACGUCGCUGCCUCUGCAGCUGCCCCAGAUCCAGGUGCCGUUAAUUUUACCCUCAAGUUGCGCUAAACUACUCAGUGAAUUAUUGUUGGUCCAAUAAAACCACUUUUGUUUUAUUUAUUCUUUUGUCUCCACACUCACUCCCAUUCCCUUCCCCUGCAUGGGCAACAUGCUCCCCAUAGAUUCCCCCACCUCCUGUGCUGCUUUAAAAAUGCUCUUUCAAAAGAGAUACAGUCUUUAUGUGUUUUUUAAUGUCUGCAAAUGGUAAUGUUUGGGUUCCCAUGUUGCUUCUUCCUUUUUAAACUCAGCCCUGUGUUCAGGCCCAUCCAUGUGGCUAUGUGUGCCUUUCAUCUCUCCUUGUGGCUGCAUAAUUCUCCAUGGUGUGGACCAUUCCCAUUUUGUCUCUCCAUUCUCCCCAGGAUAGAAACCCUAGGGUGCCUCCCGCAGCCCCCAUCCCCAC
rnacentral:lncRNA from 1 species